rnacentral:snoRNA from 1 species
AAUGUGCAGAGGGACAGUUGUCAAAAGAAUAACUGCUGGCUGGCCAGUGAGCUCAUGGGUGUAGUGGUGCACUGUGCGAGGGCAGGUCUUUCGCUAGCACCACAGGGGUCUCUGGCCCAGUGAGUGGAGUUCGACAGUCAUGCUUGCUACAAGU